rnacentral:rRNA from 1 species
ACGCUGGCGGCGUGCCUAAUACAUGCAAGUCGAGCGGACAGAAGGGAGCUUGCUCCCGGAUGUUAGCGGCGGACGGGUGAGUAACACGUGGGUAACCUGCCUGUAAGACUGGGAUAACUCCGGGAAACCGGAGCUAAUACCGGAUAGUUCCUUGAACCGCAUGGUUCAAGGAUGAAAGACGGUUUCGGCUGUCACUUACAGAUGGACCCGCGGCGCAUUAGCUAGUUGGUGGGGUAAUGGCUCACCAAGGCGACGAUGCGUAGCCGACCUGAGAGGGUGAUCGGCCACACUGGGACUGAGACACGGCCCAGACUCCUACGGGAGGCAGCAGUAGGGAAUCUUCCGCAAUGGACGAAAGUCUGACGGAGCAACGCCGCGUGAGUGAUGAAGGUUUUCGGAUCGUAAAGCUCUGUUGUUAGGGAAGAACAAGUGCGAGAGUAACUGCUCGCACCUUGACGGUACCUAACCAGAAAGCCACGGCUAACUACGUGCCAGCAGCCGCGGUAAUACGUAGGUGGCAAGCGUUGUCCGGAAUUAUUGGGCGUAAAGGGCUCGCAGGCGGUUUCUUAAGUCUGAUGUGAAAGCCCCCGGCUCAACCGGGGAGGGUCAUUGGAAACUGGGAAACUUGAGUGCAGAAGAGGAGAGUGGAAUUCCACGUGUAGCGGUGAAAUGCGUAGAGAUGUGGAGGAACACCAGUGGCGAAGGCGACUUCUGGUCUGUAACUGACGCUGAGGAGCGAAAGCGUGGGGAGCGAACAGGAUUAGAUACCCUGGUAGUCACGCCGUAAACGAUGAGUGCUAAGUGUUAGGGGGUUUCCGCCCCUUAGUGCUGCAGCUAACGCAUUAAGCACUCCGCCUGGGGAGUACGGUCGCAAGACUGAAACUCAAAGGAAUUGACGGGGGCCCGCACAAGCGGUGGAGCAUGUGGUUUAAUUCGAAGCAACGCGAAGAACCUUACCAGGUCUUGACAUCCUCUGACAACCCUAGAGAUAGGGCUUUCCCUUCGGGGACAGAGUGACAGGUGGUGCAUGGUUGUCGUCAGCUCGUGUCGUGAGAUGUUGGGUUAAGUCCCGCAACGAGCGCAACCCUUGAUCUUAGUUGCCAGCAUUCAGUUGGGCACUCUAAGGUGACUGCCGGUGACAAACCGGAGGAAGGUGGGGAUGACGUCAAAUCAUCAUGCCCCUUAUGACCUGGGCUACACACGUGCUACAAUGGACAGAACAAAGGGCUGCAAGACCGCAAGGUUUAGCCAAUCCCAUAAAUCUGUUCUCAGUUCGGAUCGCAGUCUGCAACUCGACUGCGUGAAGCUGGAAUCGCUAGUAAUCGCGGAUCAGCAUGCCGCGGUGAAUACGUUCCCGGGCCUUGUACACACCGCCCGUCACACCACGAGAGUUUGCAACACCCGAAGUCGGUGAGGUAACCUUUAUGGAGCCAGCCGCCGAAGGUGGGGCAGAUGAUUGGGGUGAAGUCGUAACAAGGUAGCCG